AGCGAACGCUAGCGGCGGGCCUAACACAUGCAAGUCGAGCGGAGGGGCAACCCUCAGCGGCGAACGGGUGAGUAACACGUAGGUAAUGUACCCUCUGGUGGGGAAUAACCGUGGGAAACCAUGGCUAAUACCGCAUAUGUCUUUCGAGAUGAAAGCAGCAAUGCGCCAGAGGAGCAGCCUGCGGCCGAUUAUUUAGUCCUAGUUGGUGAGGUAAUGGCUCACCAAGGGUACGAUCGGUAGCUGGUCUGAGAGGAUGAUCAGCCACACUGGAACUGAGACACGGUCCAGACUCCUACGGGAGGCAGCAGUGGGGAAUAUUGCACAAUGGACGAAAGUCUGAUGCAGCAACGCCGCGUGGAGGAUGACACAUUUCGGUGCGUAAAACUCCUUUUAUAUAGGAAGAUAAUGACGGUACUAUAUGAAUAAGCACCGGCUAACUCCGUGCCAGCAGCCGCGGU
rnacentral:rRNA from 1 species